rnacentral:rRNA from 1 species
UACGAAGGGUGCAAACGUUGCUCGGAAUUACUGGGCGUAAAGCGUGCGUAGGUGGUGAGUUAAGUCUGUCGUGAAAGCCCCGGGCUCAACCUGGGAAUGGCGAUGGAUACUGGCUCGCUAGAGUGCGGUAGAGGAGAGUGGAAUUCCCGGUGUAGCAGUGAAAUGCGUAGAGAUCGGGAGGAACAUCAGUUGCGAAGGCGGCUCUCUGGACCAGCACUGACACUGAGGCACGAAAGCGUGGGGGAGCAAACAGG